UCUGGCCCUCGGGUCCGAGUUGUAAUUUGUAGAGGAUGCUUUUGGUGCGGUACCUUCCGAGUUCCCUGGAACGGGACGCCAUAGAGGGUGAGAGCCCCGUCUGGUUGGAUACCAAUCCUCUGUAAAGCUCCUUCGACGAGUCGAGUAGUUUGGGAAUGCUGCUCUAAAUGGGAGGUAUAUGUCUUCUAAAGCUAAAUACCGGCCAGAGACCGAUAGCGCACAAGUAGAGUGAUCGAAAGAUGAAAAGCACUUUGAAAAGAGGGUUAAACAGUACGUGAAAUUGUUGAAAGGGAAGCGCUUGUGACCAGACUUGGGCAUGGUUAAUCAUCCAGCGUUCUCGCUGGUGCACUUGGCCUGCCCAGGCCAGCAUCAGUUCGGUGCGGGGGAUAAAGGCUUCGGGAAUGUGGCUCCUCCGGGAGUGUUAUAGCCCGUUGCGCAAUACCCUGCGCUGGACUGAGGUUCGCGCAUCUGCAUGGAUGCUGGCGUAAUGGUCAUCAGCGACCCGUCUUGAAACACGGACCAAGGAGUCGUCCUCGUAUGCGAGUGUUCGGGUGUUAAACCCCUACGCGUAAUGAAAGUGAACGCAGGUGAGAGCUUCGGCGCAUCAUCGACCGAUCCUGAUGUUUUCGGAUGGAUUUGAGUAAGAGCAUACGGGGCCGGACCCGAAAGAAGGUGAACUAUGCCUGUAUAGGGUGAAGCCAGAGGAAACUCUGGUGGAGGCUCGCAGCG
rnacentral:rRNA from 1 species